rnacentral:tRNA from 1 species
UCCCUGGUGGCUUAGAUGGUAAAGAAUCCACCUGCAAUGUGCGAGACCUAGGUUCAAUCCCUGGGUGGGGAA